AGAGUUUGAUCCUGGCUCAGAGUGAACGCUGGCGGCGUGGAUUAGGCAUGCAAGUCGAACGAUGGUGAGAGAAAUCGAACCAUAGUGGCAAAAGGGCGAGUAACGCGUGAGAAAUCUACCUUUGAGUGGGGAAUAACCUUGGGAAACCAGGGCUAAAACCGCAUAAGACCACGACAGGGCAUCCUGUUGUGAUAAAAAGGAGGGACCGCAAGGCCUCUUGCUCGAAGAUGAUCUCGCGUCCUAUCAGCUAGUUGGCGGGGUAAUGGCCCACCAAGGCUUUUGACGGGUAGCUGGCCUGAGAGGGUGGUCAGCCACACGGGGACUGAGAUACUGCCCCGACUCCUACGGGAGGCUGCAGUCGAGGAUCUUUAGCAAUGGGCGAAAGCCUGACUAUGCGACGCCGCGUGAGGGAUGAAGGUUUUCGGAUCGUAAACCUCUUUCGAUAGGGAAGAAAAAUUUUAUCAUAACAUGGUAAAAACUGACGGUACCUAUAGAAGAAGCCACGGCCAACUCCGUGCCAGCAGCCGCGGUAAUACGGAGGUGGCGAGCGUUACUCGGAUUCAUUGGGUGUAAAGGGCAGGUAGGUGGCUAUGUAAGUUGGGGGUGAAAUCCUUUGGCUCAACCAAAGAACUGCCUUCAAAACUGCAUAGCUUGAGGCUGAAAGAAGAGAGCGGAAUUCCCGGUGUAAGGGUGAAAUCUGUAGAUAUCGGGAGGAACACCAGUGGCGAAAGCGGCUCUCCGGUCCGGUCCUGACACUGAUCUGCGAAAGCUAGGGGAGCAAACAGGAUUAGAUACCCUGGUAGUCC
rnacentral:rRNA from 1 species